rnacentral:misc_RNA from 1 species
CCGAGUGAGGGCCUCCGGGCCCGACCUCCCACCCUUUGAUUUAACCAACUUUUGUUGCCUCGGGGGCGACCCGGUCGCGUCGGAUUCCCGACGUCGGCGUCGGGGCCCCGGACGGCCCCCCUUCUCACGCUGCAUCUUUGCGUCGGGUUGAUCAGAAAAUCAAUCA